CUCCUCGUGCUCUGCCAUAAGAACUUGGAGUCCGUAUCAUGGUGAAGAUAAGGUAAGGCUGUGAUUCUUGCUCAAAAAACAGACCGAACGCCUUCGAGUUAUUGGCUCGUCCAACCCGGCAGCAUUCAUGAGUCGCUAGUUCAACUGUCCCUCGGAGACAGGGUCGAGAAGUACCAUGCAUGGUUGCCCCCCGUCCUUUCUUUCUAUCAGUCUCACCCAGCAAGCC
rnacentral:lncRNA from 1 species